AAUGGGAAGCUGGGGCGUGCUUACACAUGCAGUCGAACGGAGUUUAUAUGAAACCUAGUGAUUAUAAACUUAGUGGCGGACGGGUGAGUAACGCGUGGGUAACCUGCCUUAUACCGGGGGACAACAGUUAGAAAUGACUGCUAAUACCGCAUAAGCGCACGGUAUCGCAUGAUACAGUGUGAAAAACUCCGGUGGUAUAAGAUGGACCCGCGUCUGAUUAGCCAGUUGGUGAGGUAACGGCCCACCAAAGCAACGAUCAGUAGCCGGCCUGAGAGGGUGAACGGCCACAUUGGGACUGAGACACGGCCCAAACUCCUACGGGAGGCAGCAGUGGGGAAUAUUGGACAAUGGGGGAAACCCUGAUCCAGCGACGCCGCGUGAGUGAAGAAGUAUUUCGGUAUGUAAAGCUCUAUCAGCAAGGAAGAUAAUGACGGUACUUGACUAAGAAGCCCCGGCUAACUACGUGCCAGCAGCCGCGGUAAU
rnacentral:rRNA from 1 species